rnacentral:rRNA from 1 species
GUAGGGAAUCUUCCGCAAUGGGCGAAAGCCUGACGGAGCAACGCCGCGUGAGUGAUGAAGGUCUUAGGAUCGUAAAACUCUGUUGUUAGGGAAGAACAAAUUUGUUAGUAACUGAACAAGUCUUGACGGUACCUAACCAGAAAGCCACGGCUAACUACGUGCCAGCAGCCGCGGUAAUACGUAGGUGGCAAGCGUUAUCCGGAAUUAUUGGGCGUAAAGCGCGCGUAGGCGGUUUCUUAAGUCUGAUGUGAAAGCCCACGGCUCAACCGUGGAGGGUCAUUGGAAACUGGGGAACUUGAGUGCAGAAGAGGAGAGUGGAAUUCCAUGUGUAGCGGUGAAAUGCGCAGAGAUAUGGAGGAACACCAGUGGCGAAGGCGGCUCUCUGGUCUGUAACUGACGCUGAUGUGCGAAAGCGUGGGGAUCAAACAGG